rnacentral:rRNA from 1 species
GACGAACGCUGGCGGCGUGCUUAACACAUGCAAGUCGAACGGAAAGGCCCUGCUUUUGUGGGGUGCUCGAGUGGCGAACGGGUGAGUAACACGUGAGUAACCUGCCCUUGACUUUGGGAUAACUUCAGGAAACUGGGGCUAAUACCGGAUAGGAGCUCCUGCUGCAUGGUGGGGGUUGGAAAGUUUCGGCGGUUGGGGAUGGACUCGCGGCUUAUCAGCUUGUUGGUGGGGUAGUGGCUUACCAAGGCUUUGACGGGUAGCCGGCCUGAGAGCGUGACCGGCGACAAUGGGACUGAGAUACGGCGCAGACGGCUACGGGAGGCAGUAGGGGGGAAUAUUGCACAAUGGGCGGAAGCGUGAUGCAGCAGCGCCGCGUGCGGGAUGACGGGCUUCGGGUUGUAAACCGCUUUCGCCGGUGACGAAGCGUGAGUGACGGUAAUGGGUAAAGAAGCACCGGCUAACUACGUG